CAUCCUAACUCCAGUUAGUUUGUAUUUCAGCAGCAGGAACAGAGGGCAGCCGGUCGCAUGGCAGUAAACAUCUGAACAGAGAUGAGAGGAGAGGUGGAAGAUGCACUCCAGUCUGCAGAGAGUUUCCCCCGCCCCUGAUGGGUUCGACUUCACGGAUCAGAGCAUCCUAUGUGACAAUUACUGCCCGUUCUGUGUGCUUUAUGUGACAACGUGCUACAAACCAGCCCGAUGCAUGUGACAGAAGUUAAACUGAAGGCAAUGGAGGAGUGGAAGCUGACUGAGGAAGACCCGGCUGUUACUGACAUAACAGCGAAUAAAUAUACAAGCUGGUUGAUGAAGCAGUAAAAUGUGUUUUUUUAGGGUUAAUUUAACUGUUUUUCUUUAGUUCUGUAAAUUUAAUUUACAGACUUAACACAUGUAGAUGUUUUCAUCUCAGUGAAACCAUGAAUCCUGCACUUUGACAUUUUAGAGAUGUGUAUGCUUCAGAUUGCUUUUCUGCACAUGUCAGGAAAUGGGGGAAACUACAGCUUAAAUUGAAGAAGAAGAAGCCUCAGCAUCAGUGAAGGCCUGGCUUUUGCCUCAAAAAGAUCAAAAACACAGAGUUAAAAAAUGUCAGAUAUUCUUUUCACCACCCUCCAAACUGUUCACAUUACAAUCCUGCAUGAAUGACUCCAUCAGGGUUUUCUAAAAAGUUGAAACCGUAUUCGGUUCAUCCCUACAACCAAUAAAAUUACUGCUGUAACACUACUAACAGCAUGUUAAAUCA